rnacentral:rRNA from 1 species
GACGAACGCUGGCGGCGUGCUUAACACAUGCAAGUCGAACGGAAAGGCCCUGCUUUUGUGGGGUGCUCGAGUGGCGAACGGGUGAGUAACACGUGAGUAACCUGCCCUUGACUUUGGGAUAACUUCAGGAAACUGGGGCUAAUACCGCAUAGGAGCUCCUGCUGCAUGGUGGGGGUUGGAAAGUUUCGGCGGUGGGGGAUGGACUCGCGGCUUAUCAGCUUGUUGGUGGGGUAGUGGCUUACCAAGGCUUUGACGGGUAGCCGGCCUGAGAGGGUGACCGGCCACAUUGGGACUGAUGUGCGGCCCAGACUCCUACGGGAGGCAGCAGUGGGGAAUAUUGCACAAUGGGCGGAAGCCUGAUGCAGCAACGCCGCGUGCGGGAUGACGGCCUUCGGGUUGUAAACCGCUUUCGCCUGUGACGAAGCGUGAGUGACGGUAAUGGGUAAAGAAGCACCGGCUAACUACGUG